AAGGAUCAUUACCUAGAGUUGUAGGCUUUGCCUGCUAUCUCUUACCCAUGUCUUUUGAGUACCUUCGUUUCCUCGGCGGGUUCGCCCGCCGAUUGGACAAUUUAAACCAUUUGCAGUUGCAAUCAGCGUCUGAAAAAACAUAAUAGUUACAACUUUCAACAACGGAUCUCUUGGUUCUGGCAUCGAUGAAGAACGCAGCGAAAUGCGAUAAGUAGUGUGAAUUGCAGAAUUCAGUGAAUCAUCGAAUCUUUGAACGCACAUUGCGCCCCUUGGUAUUCCAUGGGGCAUGCCUGUUCGAGCGUCAUUUGUACCUUCAAGCUCUGCUUGGUGUUGGGUGUUUGUCUCGCCUCUGCGUGUAGACUCGCCUCAAAACAAUUGGCAGCCGGCGUAUUGAUUUCGGAGCGCAGUACAUCUCGCGCUUUGCACUCAGAACGACGACGUCCAAAAGUACAUUUUUACACUCUUGACCUCGGAUCAGGUAGGGAUACCCGCUGAACUUAA
rnacentral:rRNA from 1 species